GAGAGCCUUCAUCUAUUUAUCAAAAUUCCUCUCCUUCUUAAAUCUUCUCUCCAUUGUUUUUGUUUCAUUCACUCCUGGACACUUCUCAAUCUCUCUUCCCACAUGCCUUUUCAUCUCCAAAUUUCCUCCAGCAAACUCAUGUUUCACCCUUUAUUUUGAUGACAGUAGACAAAGAAGUGAUGAUGCUUUGGUCAAGUGGAUGCUAGCUGUGACACUCAUGAAGGUGCAACAAGUUGAAAUUAUGAUGAAAUAAAGCAACUAAGGUGAUGGAGAAGAUCAUUGUGGUCAUACAGUAUUUUAUUAGAGUUAUCUCCAC